rnacentral:sRNA from 1 species
UAUCUGCGGACGUUGCUGCGGAUGCGGGU